AGAGUGAACGCUGGCGGCAGGCCUAACACAUGCAAGUCGAACGGCAGCACAGUAAGAGCUUGCUCUUAUGGGUGGCGAGUGGCGGACGGGUGAGGAAUACAUCGGAAUCUGCCUAUUUGUGGGGGAUAACGUAGGGAAACUUACGCUAAUACCGCAUACGACCUACGGGUGAAAGCGGAGGACCUUCGGGCUUCGCGCAGAUAGAUGAGCCGAUGCCGGAUUAGCUAGUUGGUGGGUAAAGGCCCACCAAGGCGACGAUCCGUAGCUGGUCUGAGAGGAUGAUCAGCCACACUGGAACUGAGACACGGUCCAGACUCCUACGGGAGCAGCAGUGGGAAUAUUGGACAAUGGGCGCAAGCCUGAUCCAGCCAUGCCGCGUGAGUGAAGAAGGUCCCUUGGUUGUAAAGCUUCGUUUUUGUAGGGAAGAAAGCAAGUCGGUUAAUACCCGGUUGUUCGUAGACGGUACCAAAGAAUAAGCACCGACUAAC
rnacentral:rRNA from 1 species